UACAGUUUCAGGUCAUGCCACGUAGGCCUCCAGGCUACUGUAGACGUCAUUACGCAACUGACGUAAUGUGACGUGUCGUUCGCCGCCUCCCUUGUUCCCUGUUACUGGAUAUCCCUCCGCCCUCGACGCAGUUAUCCAAAAGAGAGAAAUAAAACAGCAAGCUAGUUUGUAAACACCAUCUACGGCAGAUUUUCUUGGAGAUUUUUAAGGUCUCCCAGCCUGUGACAAUGAAGUUUAUGUAUAAAGAAGAACAUCCAUUUGAGAAGCGACGGUCCGAAGGGGAGAAAAUCAGAAAGAAAUACCCGGAUAGAGUGCCUGUGAUCGUCGAGAAAGCUCCCAAAGCCAGAAUAGGAGAUCUGGACAAGAAGAAAUAUCUGGUCCCGUCUGACCUCACAGUGGGGCAGUUCUACUUCCUCAUUCGGAAAAGGAUCCACUUGAGGGCCGAAGAUGCCCUCUUCUUCUUUGUAAACAACGUCAUUCCUCCAACAUCAGCCACUAUGGGGCUGCUUUACCAGGAGCACCAUGAAGAAGACUUUUUCCUUUACAUUGCCUACAGUGAUGAAAGCGUCUAUGGGGAUGUUUUGCAAGAUGUGUAACUAAUUGACUUGCCCCACACUACCCUUCCUUAAAAUAAAAUGAUCAAUACGUUAGGCCACUUGAAGUGUACAUGUUGAAUGCAAUUUCAUAUAUCCUCCUAGUCUGAAAUAUUGUUUAUACUCUAUGCUGCCUGCAUAUUGUUCCUUCCUACUUAAGAGUUCCUCCCUCAGUCUUGCUUUUAGGCAGACCGAAUACAACCUACGUCCUGGUCUGUUUCAGUAAAUUAGUGGUACUCAUAUCCGUAAAAGCUUUUUCAAUGUUCUACACUUCUCCUUUCACCUUUUCUCACUUUCCCCCAGCACCGACAUGCAUCCUGCAGUCACCUUGCUAUUCUGUCGAUCUUUAAUGUUUGGUUCGAGUUUGUUUUUUAGCCACCAUAUUUGCACAGACCAAAAUCACUGAUAAUACUGGACUAUCAUACCAUGUAAUGUGUGUGAGUGCGAGUGUGUUUGUGUACCGUUGCCAAUAAUUAUUUUUUUGAAAUGGGUUGGGGCUGCUGUUCAUUUGAAUAAUCUUGUUAAAAGAUUUCAAAAAAAUGUUUAUUUUCAUUUGACAUGUUGUAGGAGAUUGCUUGUUUAUGUUUCAAUUUUCUUAUAAUCAUUAUUAUGAGGUUGACGUUCAUGACUUGAUUGGCCUCUUUUUUUUUUUUUUUGCUUGUUUGUAUCAUGGAUUGGUGUGUUUUGUUCCUUUUCCCCUAAAAGCGUUAAUUGUCAUGGUCACCAAUCUUAAGCUUGCCAUAAUUAUAAACCUGAUGUAAAAAGCU